rnacentral:tRNA from 9 species
GGGUCCGUAGUUAAAUGGUAUAAUUAUGGUCUCCAAAACCAUUGUUCCUCGUUCGAGUCGAGGCGGACCCG